rnacentral:lncRNA from 1 species
CGGGUACAGAGAGUUCAUCAGCGAAUCUUGUUGGACUUCGCCCGACGUUGACUAUCCUCUCCGAAGCGCACACUUCGAUGUAAGUAGCGAAGCUUCUUCUGAUCUCUGAACUGAACGCCAGAGGACAAUUUUGCUGAUUACUCUGUUUUUAUUUCUAUGAAAAAAAUGACCUAUUCUAUUAUGCGUAUGUAUCAAACAAAAUCCUGAAUUUGUGUAGAGUGUAGACUCGUAAUAGCUCCCUUAAUUUUUAGUCAAACAUGUACUAUAUAUUUCAAUUAACUGAUAAAUCUGACGGCCAUUUGCAGAAGUACAUACUGUCCAAGGUGCAGUCAGAGCAGGAACUCCUGAGCUACAACGGCGGCGAGAGUCCGGCGUUCGAGGUGGUGACCUUGGCCCUGGGCCUCGUCGCCGGCGACACGGUCCUUGGCCGCGUCCCGGAGACGGUGGAGAGCGCCG